rnacentral:rRNA from 1 species
UACGGAGGAGGCAAGCGCUAUCCGGAAUUAUUGGGCGUAAAGCGUCCGUAGGCGGUAAUUCAAGUCUGCUGUUAAAGCGUGAGGCUUAACCUCAUAAAGGCAGUGGAAACUGAAUUGCUAGAGAACAGAAGGGGCAACGGGAGUUCCUAGUGUAGCGGUGAAAUGCGUAGAGAUUAGGAAGAACACCAAUGGCGAAAGCACGUUGCUAGGCUGAUUCUGACACUGAGGGACGAAAGCUAGGGGAGCGAAAGGG